ensembl:ncRNA lncRNA:CR44294 long non-coding RNA:CR44294
AACAUAUGUAGUUCUCUCAAGAAGUGAAAUGAAAACAUUUAUUGCGAUUUGAAUUUAAAGCGCUUGAUUCAAUAAACAUGGACAAUGGGAAGGAACAGUCCAGUCCGGAAACGCACAGUACGCACCCGCUAUUCAAAGCGAAAUCCGGGAAAACCGAGAUCCCAACCAUUGAUGAAGCUGUGGACUAUCUACAAAUCCGAGCUAUAGAGCUAUCGAGUUUGACAUCUCCGCCGUUAGACUAUACAAUGAUGCGAUCAUCAUAACGCCCUUACGGAUGAUCAGUGGACAGUCGGAUCGACCUGCAUCUUGUUUUUAAAAUAUUGCAUCUUAAACGUUUGUUUAGACCUCGCUUCAGUUCCCACUGUUUGUUAUGACCACCAAAGGAAUUAUAAUAAUAAAAAAU